rnacentral:piRNA from 1 species
CUUAAAAGCAGCCACCAAUAAAGA